UACGAAGGGGGCUAGCGUUGCUCGGAAUCACUGGGCGUAAAGGGUGCGUAGGCGGGUCUUUAAGUCAGGGGUGAAAUCCUGGAGCUCAACUCCAGAACUGCCUUUGAUACUGAGGAUCUUGAGUCCGGGAGAGGUGAGUGGAACUGCGAGUGUAGAGGUGAAAUUCGUAGAUAUUCGCAAGAACACCAGUGGCGAAGGCGGCUCACUGGCCCGGUACUGACGCUGAGGUGGCGAAAGCG
rnacentral:rRNA from 1 species